AAGUCGUAACAAGGUUUCCGUAGGUGAACCUGCGGAAGGAUCAUUACAAAUCCGUCACAUUAUGACACGUUGCAAUGUUGGAGAGUCAGGGGGGGGGGAGGAGAGAGAUAGAGUGAGAGAAUAUUUCUCUUUUUUUUUCUUCUUCUUCUUCUUCUGAAACUCUUCACCCUUUUACUAUUAUGUUUGUUGAUCAGUUUUAUUUUUUAAUCACAUACUGUAACACAACUUAUAACAAUGGAUCUCUAGGCUCUU
rnacentral:misc_RNA from 1 species